GAACGGGUGUAGCAAUACAUUCGUGGCGAACGGGUGCGUAACACGUGGAUAACCUUCCUUCAGGUGGGGAAUAACCCAGUGAAAAUUGGGUUAAUACCGCAUAACAAGACGAGGGCACAUGCUUUUGUCUUCAAAGGCGCAAGUCGCCGGAAGAGGGAUCCGCGGCCGAUUAGCUUGUUGGCGGGGUAACGGCCCACCAAGGCAAUGAUCGGUAUCCGGACUGAGAGGUUGGCCGGACACACUGGAACUGAGACACGGUCCAGACUCAUACGGGAGGCAGCAGUGGGGAAUCUUGCGCAAUGGGCGAAAGCCUGACGCAGCGACGCCGCGUGGGGGAUGAAGCUUUUCGGAGUGUAAACCCCUUUAGACCCGGACGAAACCCCGCAAGGGAUUGACGGUACGGGUAUAAGAAGCCCCGGCUAACUACGUG
rnacentral:rRNA from 1 species